rnacentral:rRNA from 1 species
GACGAAGGGGGCUAGCGUUGUUCGGAUUUACUGGGCGUAAAGCGCGUGUAGGCGGUUGUCCAAGUCGGGUGUGAAAGCCUUGAGCUCAACUCAAGAAAUGCACUCGAUACUGGGCGACUCGAGUGCCGGAGAGGAUAGUGGAAUUCCCAGUGUAGUGGUGAAAUACGUAGAGAUUGGGAAGAACACCAGUGGCGAAGGCGGCUAUCUGGACGGUUACUGACGCUAAGACGCGAAAGCGUGGGGAGCAAACAGG